UAGUGGCACAUCUAUUAUUCCGAUAUGCAUCAGUAAAGGUAGUUAACAAACGGCAGAAUACAUCUCAAUAAAAGAUCAAUACACUGUAUAUCAGCAGGGAGAGGCAGCAGAUCAUUGGUCCAACUAGGAUAUUGCAGUCAUUUAUUAUGAAAUAUUUCAUUAUCAUGGUAUUUAAGCCCCAAAUGAAUUGGCUGUAGAUAAUCUGCAAAGGUGCAAUGCAUUUGUGACGUAUGUGAAUUGUGAUUCGGGUCACUGCGACAUUGGUUAUUAUAAUUUUUAAAAUAGAGUAAGCUGUCAGCCAACACAACCUCCCGCUGCAGGCACCUCUGCUGCAUGUUAUCAGCCCCACCUAAGGCCCUGUUACAGCCCCGAUCCCCCCGCGCUGCCUCCAGUGAAACCUGCAGGCCGUGAUGACGCACCGCACAAAUGCCAAACAUUAACUGUGUUGUACUCACUUCUCACAUACGUCAGUGAAAGUUUUCCCUGUGAGUCGGCCAAACUAAAAUGUAAUUAGUUCCAGAGCUGGUAAAUCCUUUCGUCUGAUAAACACACACACACUUUAUUUUUCUUUCACUCUCCCAUUCUCUGUGUGUUUCUACCCGUCUGCCCCUCACAAGCACUCAGAAGACCUUGGGAUUCUAGUGCUGUUGGACAAAAACAACCUGACAAAAUCCCAAUGUUUUCUGCAGUGGGGAGAGGGCACAUUCCAUGCACGCUUCAUUACCCCUAUUCAGUCAUACAGAGAGAAUACCCGGAUUUUAUACUCGGGUAACUUGGGCAAAAGGCCCCAUCGCAUUGGUUGAAAUAUAGAAUAAUAUAUAACAUAAAAAAAAAUUGUAUUUAAAAAAAGAAAAUAGUUUAUAUGGUUUUGAACCAGUCUGCAUAAAGAUAAAAAGGAGGGACUGGUGCCUCAAUGCAGGACAACAGCCUCCACAGUGUGAUUAUCACACACAUUAUAACGGUAGAAAAACACACUUUGACUAUAUUUGACCUGGUAGUGUGAGCUGGUGUUGGCAGCUCCUCCACCCUCCCUCGCCUUGCUGACGGUGCGAGGGAGUCCCCCCUGGUGGAGCGUCCUGGUCCUAGCAUGCAUUACCACUCUGCAGGCGAGAGACACUGUGACCAUUGUUCCCUUCGAUGGGCCCAAACAGCACAGCUUUGAAGAGGCUCAACCUAAUUUACAGGGCAUUAUCAUGCAAACUGUAUGUGCAGCCAUUGAAGGCCCAGGGGGGCUCAGCCUGUAAUCCCGCAUACUGCGGAACAGAUAACUAUUGUUGUCUUGUGCAGCAUUGUUGCAGUCCUCCAGUCUCCAUCUCGUCCCCCGAUGUGGAGGACAAUAAAUGUUUUGGCUUGAUUCCAAAUGACACAAAAGGCCCGUGGUGGAGUACAGUUCAGUUUGUUUCAUAAUGGCAACCGAAGCCAUUUACACUUUAAAAAGAAGUUCAGCUAUGACACGCGGCUGAUCACCAGGCCUGCACAGAUACCUGUUGUCACGUGGGCGUCUUCAUGGGGGAAAUCAUCUUCAUCAUAAGUCAUCACCUGCUGAGGAUUUAGUUUUAAGACCCCAUCUCUGCCCUCUGGCUCAGUGUCAGUCUCAAUCAGUCAAUAUGACUUCAAAGAGAUGCAGCUUCCACUGCUGAAACCUGCUGCACGAGCAUCACGUGUGUGAAUCUAGACAACAAGCGGCCGACUAUCAGCGCUGCGGCAACGCAGGGCGACAUUUCAGCGUGAACGCCCGAACGGAAAACGGCAAACAAUUAACUGCACACUGACGCACACACACACACGCACACGCACACAGCUUCACCCCUACGUUGCAUAUUUUACAGUUUGCGUUGUAUGUUUUAAGUUCGCUGUCACACAGACUUGCGUCUCAGAGACAUUUUAAACUGAUGAGCCGUCGUCCUCGCGGUGCCACGUCUCGUCAUUCGGGCCUCGACCUCGGCCCCCGAGCCCGUCCCGGUCCUCUCGAGAUCAGUCCGUGAUCCGCCGCCCAGUGAGCAAAGAUCAUAAAUAUCUUUCUCUCACAGCAACUAAGUGACUUAGCUGACGUCUUUGCUUUUUUUUUUUUCUUUACAUGGAUUGUAAAUUGUUCCGUGUUGUGGGCCGGCCGGUGGGAGUAAAUACUGUAGUUUCCAGGGCUGUCAUAAAACAUCUUGUUACGUCCCACCAAGGAAUUUCAGCUUCUAAUUUUAUGAUGAUGUCACAGGUUGUAACUUUAAGUCCAUUCUUUUAUUCUCCAAAGCAACGAAUGGCCAUUUGGAGCAGCAGCUCAUGGAGAAGCUCACAUGCUCUCUGAAGACUUGAGCAAGCAUGCAGAUCCUCCACUCAGUGUAAAACUACUCCAUUAAAGUCAAAGUUUCUCCUAACAACCCCAGAAACAGUCUGGUAGUCACGUCUGGGCCCACCAGCUCAUCAAACCCUUCAGAGUCAAGGUUUCUGAGAUGCUGCUCGCUGCUUUUGGAUUGAUUUCUACGCUUUCUUCUGUGAUCUUUGUAUUUUUGUGAAUUAUUGGAGUUUCCCCUCCCGUGUGCUGUGGCUGCAUGUGUGAGUUCAUGGGAGACAGUUAGCAGCGACGUGUCGUGACAGAGGGAGGGCUGACUAAUUGAAAGGCUUCCAGCUCGUUAGGCCAAGUCAGGACACGGAGCAGCCGCUGCACAGCCUCAAAGCCUCGAAGCCUCAAAGCCUCAAAGCGUGCACACGUUGAAAUCCAUCUCAAAGAACAGAGAAAUGUUUUUUCCUUUUGUUGUUGUUUUUAAUGUAUCGUAAUAGUGAGGUUGGGAUCUACUCAAGUUAGAAAUAUGAAAAACACAUAAAAGUGUGUGAGAUGUUUUUCUGUAUUUCUGGCGGAUUCAAAUUGGUAUUCAUCAUCAGGAUCACAAUAUGCAGAUAUUUAGUCAUGUUUACACCACUCUCACAUAGAGAAUCAUAGAAGGAUGCUACCGCCUCCCCGUCUAUAUUGACACCCUGUUGUUUCAGACUUUACUAUUUCGCUCUUGACAGAUGGCAGAAUGCAGGUGAUCUUUUAUGUGUCUUUAAGUUGCAUUGAGCAGUUUAACGCUGUUUGCUAAAUGCUCCCCGUAUUAACAUAUACAGCAACGGGAUGAUGCUGUAAAUCAGUAUUUUGUGAACAGCUCGUUGAAACUGCUGCCAAGUGUCCAAAAAAUAUCAGUUGGAGGUUCAGAUGAAAAAAAUCGGGCUUUGAAAUGUGUUGGUUCUCCACAUGCUAACGGCUGACACGUCACAUCACUAUCAUUGCUCCCAUUACCUUUAACAUAGAACUGCAACGCAGCACCCGAAGGAGACGCUGCUUGGCAUUUGUAGUACACGUUCAGAGAUCAGUCAGAAGCCUCCAGCGGAAAGCAUCUAACAGCAACCCAUUGCAAAUUCUAACAGCGCUGAAUGCUGUUUCUUUUGUUUGGUUGCUGUACUUGUCAAGCGAUGCUUAAAGAAAACCAAGGAGUGCACAAGCCCCGAAAAGCACUUGUGUGUGUGUGUGUGUGUGUGUGUGUGUGCCAUUCUGACACAUGUAGACAGAAUGAACACAGUCUCAUUACCAAGCCUUGGUGGAGACAAGCUGUCGGGUUGACACCCACAGGAGCCUCCUGCAGAUGCUGCCAACCAUCAGCCUCAACUCUCAAAGCGAAGGAAACGGGAUGUUUGCGAGCAUCGCCAUGAGGUUCAUCAUUAGAGGGGAAAGAAAAUAUUUAUUUUGAAUUUGAAUUUUUGAUUGUAAACCAAUUCUUCCACAGCGUGAGUCCAAAAAAAGCGUAGCUGCUGCACCUUUUGCUGAAUUAGAUAAAGAGUGAGUGAGAGAGAGAAAUCCCAAAAGAUCCUUUAUCGACCCGUAUGCUCAAUAUGUGAGUAUAAUGAGUUAUAGCUAUUGUUUUACCACGGGUAUUGAUCCAAAUGUCAAGAUGCUCUUGUUUAGGCCAAGGUCAGUCAAUUCCAUUCAAAUCUCAGUAAAUAAUUGGGGUAUAAUCAAGAUAAAUAUCCCUCAGAAGCAUGAGCCAAAACACAUGAUUAUACCACACUAAUAUUCAUCAAGAUGCACAUUUCUAUUUUUAAAGCAUUUUAUUUUUAUUUUAUCAAGCUUAUUUUUUACCCUGCAAUGGAAUUUCAACACUAACAUCUAUAAUUUCUCCCACAAGGCCUUUCUGCUCUUUGUGCGCGUGAUGCCUGCAGGUCUGCAGAGCAACUUUCAGCUCAAAAUGAGAAAAAAGACUUUGAAAAAAGUAGUGAUAUCAAGUGACUAUAAACAAUUUGCCUUAAUGUUGUUGCACCCGCUAUGGUGUCCAUGGAUUCUUCAUGUAUAGUCUUCCAUUUUUUUGGAGUUAUUCCUACUUGUUUUUGCGUUGAUUAAAGGUGGGUGUGCGCACACUGCAAAGGGCCAUUUAUAGAACAUGUAUUUAUAAUGGGUUUGGACUUUAGGGUUUGGGUGUGAGGUUCUUCCACCAUUUAACAGUUGACACUUGUUUGUUUUGCAACUAAAAAGUGUUAUUUGAUUAUUUGAUAGUGACAUCAAAUAUCUAUGAUUUUAAUCUAAGCACAUUUAAGCAAUGAGUAGAGGUAAGUAACAUGUCGUUUAGUACCGUAUAUCUCACUUUUCAUCGCUGCUUGUCAUCGUGCCAAACAACUUUAGGAGCUAAAAGCUAAGAGGGGUUAUUAUCACUUAAUUACACCACAAGUGUUGUGAGGCGUCGCUGCGCCAAAGCCCCAAACAACCUUUAUUCCUCUGUCUCCUUCCACUUUGAGGCUGAAAUGUCACACUAGCUCUCAGAUUACCAAGGCCGGCCGAUAGGGGGGGACGCCAAACACCCUUCAGUGUCACACACACACCCUUCAGUGUCACACACAUACACACCCUUCAGUGUCACACACACACACUCUGCUGCUCACGGGACAAUCAAGAACCUCACUUAGAAAACAUCCACUUCUUGUUUUAUGGCAGAAUCACCAACGUGAGACACGGCAAAGCACCACUUAAUGACGCUGUCAAUUUAUUUGGAUUUUGUCUCACAAGGUCAAGUCCCAAGGCCGGCGCAAACUGAAGGACAAGAGACAUUCUAGCUGAUUGGAAAGAUAACAAUCAGCCUGAAUAUUGGAUAAUAAAUAAGGCUUUACACUUUCGACAAUGUGUUUCCUGUGAUCGAGGCCUUUGUCUGCAUUUUGUUGCCAAAGGUUUUUCCCCCUUCUUGUGUUUUAUUGCCUCCCAUUGAGUCUCCUAACAAGACAGGAGUUCAGCACAUCUUCUAUGGGGGCUCCUCCCACCAAUUAAAUGAAAUCUUUCGAUUGAUUGUGCACAUUGUUGGUGUGCUUCCACUAAUAAAGUAGUCUCUUGUGGAGAGCCAUUGAGCAUUGCUUCUCUCUCGGAUGGACAUCCUCAGCUCAGUUCUGGAAAACAUUUUCUUCCUCUUCACAUUCCGAAAAUAGACUGACGUUGGAGUCGGGCCCCGCCGAGAGAAACAUUUCACUCGCUCACUUCUUUUACCACCUUGCUGACAGGAUGUGGAGCCGCCCGGAGGCCUGAAAGACGGACUGAAGGCUUCGACUGAACGGCCGACGGGGAAACAGAUGUCCUGAGCUCCAGACCAUCAAACCAGAGAGUCAACCAAAGCCAAACGAACUAGAGAGAGUCACAAACGCCUGUUUGUUACACACAUGGACCAGUUCACUCAUUAUGGGAUGGACUACUCCGUCAGGGAAGAUGUGAUAUCAAGGCAAUCAAGUUGUUGUUUGAUUAAAUUGUUCCUGUCUAUUAAUUUCUUUGCAACCAUAUAAAGUUCAAAAGGUUUUUAUUUCUCUUCAUAAAAACACACAAUCAAAAUGAUUAGGAAUUAAACGAUUGUAUUUUUAUGGAGUAAAACAAAUCGUAUCAUUAGUAGAUUUAUAGAUGUGGUAUAAGCUGCCUUCAGCAAGUGAAGAGCGGUCAUAGUUUAAAAUGCAAACAAUCAGGGGGCGGCGACUAGAAAAGCAAAAAAUGCCGAUGGCCUGAUCGCAUAUUUUAUCAGGGGAUAAAGAUCACCAGUAAAACUUUAUUUAACGUUAUAAGGUAAUAUUAUCCUAAAGAAAUGUUACUUAUAAACCGUAUCUCCAUAUUUUUAACAUAACAGAUGUCACAUUCUAGCAGAUGGUAGACUUGGUCGGCGGUAUGUGUGAAACUCUUACUGAAUGUUGCUUUUAAAAAAUACCGGCUUAAUCGUUGGAUGUGGAGAAUGCAGCUUUUUUGUGUGCGUUGUUUAAAGUUUUAGAGCCCCAAUGAAGGACACAGAAGCCGCACUUCCAAAAAAUAUGUUCCUGGUACGAUCCUGGUGUAUGCGCAAAUGAGCUGUUUGAUUAGUUUCCCUUGAUAUGUCGCAGUAUUUUUCUCUCAGAUGCUUGAGGAGUAACCCUGCUGAGGAUGCAGUGACCCUGCUGAGGAUGCAGUGACCCUGCUGAGGAUGCAGUGACCCUGCUGAGGAUGCAGUAACCCUGCUGAGGAUGCAUUAACCCUGCUGAGGAUGCAGUGACCCUGCUGAGGAUGCAUUAACCCUGCUGAGGAUGCAGUAACCCUGCUGAGGAUGCAGUGACCCUGCUGAGGAUGCAGUGACCCUGCUGAGGAUGCAGUAACCCUACUGAGGAUGCAGUCACCCUGCUGAGGAUGCAGUGACCCUGCUGAGGAUGCAGUGACCCUACUGAGGAUGCAGAGACCCUGCUGAGGAUGCAGUAACCCCGCUGAGGAUGCAGUCACCCUGCUGAGGAUGCAGUGACCCUGCUGAGGAUGCAGUGACCCUACUGAGGAUGCAGAGACCCUGCUGAGGAUGCAGUAACCCUGCUGAGGAUGCAGUAACCCUGCUGAGGAUGCAGUGACCCUACUGAGGAUGCAAUAACCCUACUGAGGAUGCAGUAACCCUGCUGAGGAUGCAGUGACCCUGCUGAGGAUGCAUUAACCCUGCUGAGGAUGCAGUGACUCUACUGAGGAUGCAGUGACCCUGCUGAGGAUGCAGUAACCCUGCUGAGGGUGCAGUACUCCUGCGGGGCCUCGGGAUGGCGCCAGUGUGCUUUGAAACACAAGAGCCCCCUUCAGACUCCACACAGACCCACAGACUGAGUGACAACUGCUAUGGCCUUAUAGGAUAUUAACUUAAUGGUGGAUAUACUGUCACAGUUUGAGCUCUCUGCCAGCCUUCUGAAGCCAAUUAUAUUUCUAUCAGUCUCAUCCUUCUAUUAACAGGAUGAUAGUUUGGCAACAGUGUCAAAAUCUCAGCUUGUAAUAAUUCAGACAAUCACUGUCUGUAUGCAUAAAAUAAUGGCGUAAUAUUCAUAUUAUUAUAUAGCAAUAUUAUUAGCAUAGCACAGUCAAUUCUAAAAGGAUUCUUAAUUUUAUGCCCCGCUGUGUAUUUAAUUCCAAAUCCUGUAUCCAAUCAGUUCAGUGUUAAUCUAACAAGCCACUGCUGCGGGGCAUUUUUAGCCACGGUGGUUAACUAGUGUAGAUGGGACACACACAAGGUAUACAAGACAAAGCUGGUCAGUUAAAGAGCCAUAACACAUUUUUACACUUCAUCACGGAGCAUUAAAGCUGCUGCAAAUUGUGUUUGUUUGCUUUGGAAUGACACAGGCUAGCUGUUUCCCUCUGUUUCCAGUCUUUGUGCUAAGCUAACGGGCCGCUGACGAUGGCCUUGUGUUUGCUACAUGGAGAAUGCGUUAAAUUCAUCCAUUCAGUCUUUCAUUUCAUUUUCACAUUCAUGAAAAAAAAACAGCGGUGUGUCAAAGAAAUCAAUAUUGGCAUCAGAAUAUAAUCAGCGGAAUGUAUUCCAUGGUUCCCCACUUCACAUAACCCCCCCCCCAGUACAUUUAAUACAGCAGGCAAUCAGAAGAGAUACUUCCUCGCUGGAGAUGCCCCCGUUUAAAUAAGAUCAUGUUGCACAGUACAGAGCUGCUGCUGCAGUAACUCGUACAUUCAGAUGUCUCUUUUCUCCUUUAUGCCUGACUUCAAACUGCAUAAUUGGUAGCCUACAGUGGAUGUUUUGGAGAGCAUGCAUAGGAGGAAUAUUUCCCUGUGGUGACAUACAUUUGACGCAGAACAAAAAUGACAUUUUCUUCCGCACAUGGUUCAACUGCCAGUGGUAUGAAGCCCAGAGUCCCCCCCCCCCCUCCUUCCUCUGCUCAGACAGCUCUCGCUGUAUUGAACAAAACACAGAAAACGGUCCUCACACUGUUUUCUCCUCCGGCAUUGACACACAAAGUGCAUUUCAGGCUUCUCGGUGCGUGUAUUUACUGUUUGGUCAAAAGUGAAAGCCAACAUAUCCUCCAGACACCAGCUUCAUGGCCAGUUAUAUUCCAAUACUCCCCGAUGAACUUCACAGCCGUAUCGAUAUGUUGUUGUCCGUGCCGCUGACAGACGGGGGAGGCCGAGCUGUGAGUCUUAAGCGGCGGAUCGGUGAAAGGGCUCGGUUCUUUGUGUAAAAAGGUGGAAGGUAGCAGUCUUUUAGAAAGGAAGGGGGUACCGAGGAAUUGUUCCCUGGUGUAAGUGGUUGUGACAGCUCCUCACCCAGGAGAGCACUCGUACUGAGCACACACCAGAGGCCGGCAGGGCCACCUGUCACACAGAUCUGUGACUAAAGAACUCUAUUAGCGAACAAGCACCCCGGGGUAACGUUCACGCGCGCACACGGGCAUGGGUGCACUUGCACGCACACACACACACGUGUGCACAAAAUCAAUAUGCAAAUGAAAGGAAUGGAGGACUUAUUAGGUAAGAAUACAAUAAAUAUAGUGAAGGAUAAAACAAGACUAGAUUGACGGUGCCAUUCGAUAUUAAUGCUCAUUUUAAUGAUCCCAUUCUCUAGAUUAUACCCUCGUUGGCUUGUCACUGCGCUCUGCAACAUCAUUGCUCCAAAGAGCCCAUUUUCACUUUGCAUUAUUCAAAGUACACGAAGGGUGUAAAUGCCCAUGUAACCAAAUGGGAGGCGGUGCAUGAUUAGCUUCACUUUGUCCUCACUCCGCUCGGCACAUGACAAUUAUCAAGAUGGAUUUGCACCAGAGCGCACGCACUGCCACGAGUGCACGGCGCAUUUGAAAAGAUAAGUCAGGCUCAGUGUUGGAACAGAAAUGAUUUCUAUUUGGAAUGAGCAUCAAGCGGGGGGGGUCGCUGCAGGCUCACUGGCCUUUGCACUACUCGCAUGCAGCAAACUUUUUCCCAUUUUAUUGUCCAAACAAUUACCUGUCAAACAGUGUUUGUACACAGUAUAGGUUACUUAAUGUGCAGAGAUAGCCUUCUGGAGCAGAAUAGCUGCAGGAAUUCGCCACACUGUCACUCUGUUUGUGGCCGCAGAAAAAUAAUAAUCUCAUUCGACAAUGCUGCAUCCUCUUGAACCCAACGACACGUUUGGCUGUCGGGGCUCUUUGGCUCGGUUGUUGUCCUUGAAGCCUUUUGUCGUCUGUCUACGUCUCCCCUCCUCGCCGCUUUGGAGACGCCAUUGGUGGUGUUGCUGCUGAAAUAAUAUCCAUGAAAUGUGGGAUGAUCGGUGCUGUCUCUCAAACCGCUGCCUCCCCCAAUUACCUCCCAAUCGCAGGCGGUCACGUGACGCUGUCUAGCUGAUCCACGGGGAGAAAUCCAUUGGAACAGGUGGAGCCGUGGACCAUAUCCCAUUAGUGAGGCUGCCAAAGGCCGGUCCCUGCAGGAGCAAACCCUCCUCUUCAUGCUCCGUAGGCACAGGCUACUGUAUAUAGACUUCAAUUUAUGGGCUAAAACCUGCUUUUAUGGCAAAAACAGGGAGGGCGAUGAGCAUAUAUGAGAUCCAGAUUUCAUUACCUUUAAUAAAUCUGUAAGACUGCAUGAUGUGUGACCCGUUUUCUGUGAGGAACGUACUUCGCCUGGGAACAUUCAGAGAGCAGUCAUUUGCAAUGAAAGUCAGUGGCUGAAAAUGCACUGUGGGCUUGUUGAUGUGUGUGUCGGGGAGUGCAUGUGAAGGGCGGACACGCCGCCGACUUUGGCUUCGACUGGCUCGCCUGUUAGCCCCCCGGCUUUGUGGCUCUUCCCACAUGGCAACGCAUUAUGGCGACACUCUCCAUUCUAUACGUGGCGCUAAGAAUAACGUCGAGAGUUUUUUUUCUUCGAAAAUGAAAGUCGCACUUCACACGACAACGAAAGAAACAGGGAAAACGUUCUUUUGAAUGACGGUGGUGGCGCGUGUGCGCCUGUGAUUAACACGUGACCCCUGAGACACGAGAAGAGCUCAGUCGAGUAGAUGAAAGCUGAAGAAAGCCUGUCUGUGCGGAGACGAUGGAAUGGGCCUCCGCACUGCGUAUGAGAUGAGAACAACGGGUCGUUGUCUUUGCGUAGCUGACCACACAACAACUCUCGGCUUUUUUUGUCCUUCUCUCUUCUGCAGGAGCCAGUGACUGGUGAGUGACACACAGUGUCCUCCGCUCAGGGGUUUGACCCGCCGGGGGCUUCAGUGGUUCAUAAUGUCCGCCUCUAUUAUGAUGGAUUGUUGUUGAAUGUUAAAGCAUAAAAGAAGCUCCUUCCUUCUGUUGGACUGAUACAAUUGCUUUCAUUUGUCCUCACACUGCAGUGGUCACCGGAAAAUACCUUUCGUGUAACUUUAUCUAGUUCGCACAUGGCAAUUGUGGAGAUACAGUUAUGGCGGUGCUGGAGACAGCAGCAGUAUUUAUGAAGUGGAUUUUGUUACUUUAAAGCAGCGUCUGGUAGCCCACUAUUUCCCAGAGGUCCCCUGACAACUUGUAGGGAGGGAGACAACGGACUUGUUGCCAUGGCAGAUAAUGGUCCUGUCUCUUCAGCGAAACCAUACGAGGGAGCUCACAUUCAGCGCCCGGUGCUCCCUGUUUGUGGCUGUUUAUUUGGGAUCAAUUGAAGAAUGAAAUAGUUUAAGUAAUCAUCCUCAUCAAGGGAAGCCGGUGUUGUAUUUUUAUAUUACAAAUGUCUCACCAAGCAGGCCCCAUUAAUCCUUCUUCUCCCUUCAGGCUGUCUUCUUCUCCUUUAAAGCAAGCACAUUAAGAAGAUGUAUCAUUAAUAUCUAUCCAUCUUCUUAUAUAAUAUCGUAAUUGUAACAAUAAUAACCACCUCAAUUCCAAAGUAAGUGGGAUGAAGAACUUAAAUCCCCAAAGUGUUGCAUUAUUCUCCCGGGAGUAGAGGUUACUAAGGAUUCAGUUCAUGACUCUGAGCAAAAUGGGUAAUGUCAGAAUCAUAAUGAGAAAGUUCUCAUUCUUUCGUGACCUUUUGUUUGAAUACCGCCUCCCAGUGUGUAUUUUACAGAGGAAUCAAUACAUCCAGCACGGCGCUCGCGAAGCAUCGGCCACUGGCGACAAGUUGCGCUUAGCAUAUCAUGCUCAAUAAUUUACUAAUUAGUUUUCUUAAAGUGUGCAACGCGCAGGUGAAAUCGCAGGACUGUACGGUAUUUACAUAACAGCACAUAAACACGCAGGUUUUCCCCGGAAUGAGAAGGGAAUCAAUACGGCUCGGCAAAAGGUCUCCUGCAGCAAAGGCCUGAACAGCUUGAACCCUGGAGACGCAAAGGCCGUCAAACACGCCUUUUCCCCACGGUUGAAAUCAAAUUUGGAAUGUUACGUCUCGGCAGGCCGCGUCCACCACCGCGUCAAUAAAAGGCAACGUCCUUUCUCAUUCGGGCUGUAAAAAACGGAUCCGUUUGAGGAACGCACCCCCGGACUAGUUGACGCACCACGUCAGUGCUGCGUCCCCACCGCUGCCUUUUCUAGCGCCUCUUAAGGGUUUUUGCUGACUCACCCAAAAGUGCAGAGCUGCAAUUGUCCUUCAAAAACAAAGUGCAGCUGAGACGGCGGCGGCGGCCCCCUGCUCACCCCGUCCGAGGCCUUGACACGCUGCUAUCCUGAGACCCCCUCCGGCCCCCGACACACUGCGCGUUUUGAGUCCCAACCUUCAUCCUCAGCCCCCCUCCAGAACACGACGGCCCGGGGACAACGCGGCACGCACUCGUGCAAUUGGUGUCGUUGUUGGUUACUCAAAACAUUGAAACUAUUUCUGGCCCCACGUGAUGUUUUCUUGUUUUUUUUCUUUCUCCCCUCAUGUGCAGAAAUCCAGUCACGUUCCUCAUAGAUUAACAUGUUUUGGAAAAACCGACGUAAUUAAUAAGUAAUUCUGUCUCAUAAAAGUUGAACAUCCCCCUUCCCUGGAAGUGCUCGUGUCAUGCACGUGCACGCUCGUGGUUCACUUAAGCGACCCGCGCACACUUUGUCAACCACUGGAAACACGUCACUUGCUUGAAUUUUGCAUAAGCAGACUUUAUGCAGACGUCUGCAUUGUGAUGCUAAACAUCAAUAAGGAUCACACGAUCUGUUCCGAGUGCUAACGUGAUCCAAAGCACACGUGUCACGAGACAUGUUGUGCUCAUAAGGAUACAGUUGCCUGUGAGAGCUGAUACACAGAAGGAAAAUUAGUCAAACCCAUAUUAAUAAUAAACCAAACCCUCUGGGGAAAAAUGUAAACCGCCAGUAAAUCCGUCUUUGAAGCGUACGGACGAGUAAUGAGUUCAUUAAGACAGCAAUUAGCACUUUAUAUGACCAAUGUGCUGCAUGAUAAGGAGGAGUAAUUGGUUAUUUGUGUAAGAAUACUUUUUUAUGUAUUAUAUUAUAUAAGUUGCACCAUGGAAAUAUUCCAUUAAAAUCAGAUUUUUUUUUUUUUGUUGCUUUAUCUGUUAUUCUAUCUUCCUCUGCCCAUCUGGCUACAUUGCACACACUGCACACUCUGCACACACUGCACACUCUGCACACUCUGCACACACUCCACACACUCCACACACUGCACACUCUGCACACUCUGCACACACUGCACACACACUGCACACUCUGCACACUCUGCACACACUGCACACACUCUGCACACUCUGCACACACUCCACACUCUGCACACUCUGCACACUCAAUGACACGUUGUUUUAAUACAACACAUUUUCAGAACUGGUUCUGUGCAGUGCAAGAUCCAUCUAUACGAUCUCUUUCCAUUUGUGAGGGGCGUGAAAGGAUUUUCAUCUUUAAGAGGACUUCAUCUGCCGUCACUGACCCGUCUCUUGAUUUAAAACACUCAAAGGAGGUAGUUGGAGAACAAGCGUUUUUACUACCAGUUAUACAAGGUGUGCUUCUGCAAUGUAAGCGCUAGUAAAGGCAGCAUCUGUGAGAUGUUCAAAAUGAUAAUAAAAAAAAUCUGUUCCCUCUGUAGAUUUCCAGCACCUUAUGUACAGAAGUUAGCAGACUAGUAAGGUACAAGUUAUUUAACUUGGAUAAUGAAAACAAGUAGAGCAGCAGCAUGCUAAGCAUACACAAUAUGCAAAUGAGGAGGGAGAAAUUAUGACGCAAACUUAUCAAAAUGCAAACCCAACCGCCGCGAUGUUCCGAGGCCGGAGCGGCCCUCGGCUGGGCGCUCUGCAGGAGGGGAGGUGGGAGCUGGGGGAGAGGGGGAGAGGGGGAGCAGAGAGGCUCGUUUGUGACUGGGAAGAGGAACAACGGUGAGUGCUGGAUUGGAUGGAGGAGACGACGUGUGGAAAGAAUGCGGGCGGAGAGCGGCGUCAUCGACGGCUCCCACUGUGGAACCCAACAUGUUACUGGAAAAACACAAGAAUGACUGAGACAAUCUUUUGAAAGGAUGCAGCAUAAUAGAAGCGCAUGAAGAUCUACGGCGCCAGCUUCAAGGGGAUUACAAAAAAAAGCUGAGAUGGUGAUCAGCUAUUCCGGACUGUUCCUCAUGAGGGAAGUGUGACGUAACGCUGCAGCGUACAUAAAAGUAGAGUUCAACCACGUAGUAUCUGACUGCUCCUCUGGAUGCGGAGGACGUCGGUCUAAUGGUCUGAUGUGCGGCCCUUCGGGGACUGGCUCUACUUCUCCGUCGGCAUGAAGCACGCGGGUGCCGACGUGCGAGCCGGACCAGCUUAUUGUGAAAGACAAGUCGAGUUCACUUUAAUUUUCCCAGGCUUUCGUCAAGAUGCAAGGGUAUGUUCAAAAGACUUUUUUCUUUUCUCUUCUUUUCUCCCCACAAAAUAGAGAAUAAUUUCUUUGAGCUUAUUCAGGGAAUCUUUUUGUCAAGCGAAGAUGUAGAAGAUGUAUUCACACCAGAGAUUGAGCGCGGUUCCGUGUAAUGAAAAGAUGUCAGUUAUGCUGCAUUCUACGUUUCCCGUAACAAUGAGCCUGUACCUCUCACACCUUGUCAUCGUAUUCACAGAAUAGCCUUCAGUGAUCGGAGAUUGUCACGCGAAUAUAAACAGCACAAUUUCUCCAUAGAAUAUGAGUGAAUAAAGGACAUUUUUUUGACAGAGCAACAUCAUUUUCAAAUAGUCACAAAAACCCACCGCUUUUAAUUAAAGCGAAAACGAAACUGGCCAGAAAACAUAAACAUUGGUGCAAACGCGUCCAAUUGACAGACUGGAUACAGAAUGAGUGGCGUUCUCAUUGAGCCAUUGGCCAUAGAAUUAUUUGAAAGCAAACACCUCCGGUUCGUUGUGCGCAGUGUGUGCAGUGCAUGUUGUAAAAGGUGCAUCGUGUUUAAAGGAUUUUGCACUCGACUUCAGCAGGUUGGAAUCAUUGUCCUGAUCCACAGUCUCGCCCGUAUCUGAGAUCACCCGUCCUUUGUGUGGAUUAUUCACGCUUUAAAAGUUCAGUUUCACCUCCAGCUAAAGGAAGGUUUAUUGGGGAUUGUCAGGGGACUCAAACGCAGACUUUCUAGAAAACAAAAGACUUUAAUAGUCAAAAGGCAAAAGCAAAGGGGCAGAAACGCACACAGGAACCAGGGCAAAAAUACAGCCAGGGACCAAAAAACAUCCAGGAAGAUUGACAAUGACGCGACAAGUGACACAAGAAACACCCGGCUUAAAUACACUGGGGAGGUGCAGGUGAUUGGACACAGGUGGAAACCAUCAGACAAUCACAGGGAAUGACAGGACCAGGCAGGAAGUGAAGUUACCCGCGGAGACAAGACGCAGAAAACUACAAAAUAAGACAGGAAAUGAAACCACACCGUGACAGGGAAGAGCAACAAACUGAUGUUUUCUGCAACUGUCUCCAGACGACGUGAUUCCCUUUGCCGCUGAAUUCAUGUGGACGUCGAUCCCUUCGGACCAGGCGGCACGGUGUGCUGUGCGGCGGUGAUGACGUCCCCACAUUCAACCCUUAUUCCCCCGACAGGAAGCUUUCCUCUUUUGUUGUUUCGUUUUUGUUGUUUUUUUUGGCCUCCUGGCACCUUUCCGAUCAAACGGACGUCACCGCAGUGGGUGAACUGCCCGGAAUAGUGCAUGUGGUUGUGUUGGAAUUACCACAUCUGGGAUCAAACAUCGCAGCACAUUUAAAGUUGCUUGGAUCACAUCCUGCCCACUCUACCAUUUAGUUAGUAACCAGGAGUCUCUGAACCUGCCAGCCCCGUUUGCAUGAUUUACACUCAUGUAUUAUUCAUAUACAGUAUGAGUGGCUGUCUGGAGGAGCAAACUGUUUGUGUAAAUGAGGAAUGUGAACUUAAUAAAGUGGGCAGCCGGUGUACCGCGGAGCCUUUUCUGGAAAACAACAGUCAUAAAAAAUCCAGCCACAUGCAGUUUUAAAUAUUACCUCGGGCCUCCACCUUUUUAAAUGUUUUAAAUAUCUGGGAGCUCUUUCAGUCCUUGAUGUCAGUGAUGACUUAUACAAUCACAAGCUCAAUAUAACACGGUGCAAGAAGUGAGAGUAGGAGGAAGAAUAUUUUUGUUCAAAGUGAAGGAAGAAAGAAGCUCAAGCGCUGGAAAGGGGAAGUGAUUCAUGUUAUUUACAUUCAUCGGGGACAUGAAGGAAGCUGCUUUUUCGACAUCACUUUGCUCCGGACUCAAAUGUUUGAAACAACCGCUGGAUGGAUUUCUGUGGCAUUUCGAACAGACAGUCGUGGUCCCCAGAGGACGAAUCACAAUAAUGGCGGUCCCCCGGCUUUGCAUCGAACGCCACCAGCAGGUCAAAGUUUUCACUUAGCCGGGUGGAAUAUCUCAACAUUUCCAACACGGAUUGGCACAGAAUACAGAAAUUGAUUCCCAGAGUACGAGUCCUAUUGACAUGAAUGAUCCCCUGACCUUUUCCUUUUUAAAGCCACCAGCACGGUGACAUUUGGGGAUGUGAGUGAAAUGUCGUGGGAAAUUAUUGGGGGGAUUGCCAUGAAAUUUGUGACGGGUACUGAUGUCCCCCUCAGCACGAAUUACAAUGGCUUUGGUAAAAACCCUGAGCUCCUGCACCACUAUUUCCCCCCAGAAUGCAUUUAGGAGCCUAAAUCAGACUCAGGUGCACAGUUGCAAUCAAAAUUAUUCAACCCCCCAUUGCACAUUAGGUUUAUUGGCAAAAUAUACAAUAUCUCAGCUGUUUGUAAUAAACAAAUUACACAAUAAUUGUUUAUGUAGUUUAAUGAAACCAAUAUUACAAAGGUUUUAUCCAAAUUCAACACAAAAUGCUACUUUUAAUGACUUUAAUGAAUUUACUGCAGUCUCAAAACGAUUCAACCCCUUCGUGACAUCAUCUUCAGUACUUGGUAGAGCACCUUUGAAAUGAUUCAGCUCCCUGUAUCAGUCACAACGGGUGCAACUAACAAGGGCUUCAUUAGUUCAGGUGUGCUUGAGAUAGCACACAUAAACACCUGGUCUGGCUCCGGGUUUGUUCAGAGUGACGUUUGAUUGCAUGUUAGAUAUAUGCCUCAGUCAAAAGAAUUGUCCAAAAAGUUCAGAGCAGAGAUCAUUGCCUUGCACAAACAAGGAAAAGGAUACAAAAAGAAAGCAAAAGCACUGAAUGUCCUUAGAAAUACAGUUGGAAGCAUAGUUGGCAAGUUGAAAGUUGAAGG
ensembl:lncRNA